rnacentral:rRNA from 1 species
UGGGGAAUUUUGGACAAUGGGCGCAAGCCUGAUCCAGCCAUGCCGCGUGCAGGAUGAAGGCCUUCGGGUUGUAAACUGCUUUUGUACGGAACGAAACGGCUCUUUCUAAUAAAGAGGGCUAAUGACGGUACCGUAAGAAUAAGCACCGGCUAACUACGUGCCAGCAGCCGCGGUAAUACGUAGGGUGCGAGCGUUAAUCGGAAUUACUGGGCGUAAAGCGUGCGCAGGCGGUGAUGUAAGACAGAUGUGAAAUCCUCGGGCUCAACCUGGGAACUGCAUUUGUGACUGCAUCGCUGGAGUGCGGCAGAGGGGGAUGGAAUUCCGCGUGUAGCAGUGAAAUGCGUAGAUAUGCGGAGGAACACCGAUGGCGAAGGCAAUCCCCUGGGCCUGCACUGACGCUCAUGCACGAAAGCGUGGGGAGCAAACAGG